rnacentral:lncRNA from 1 species
CUGGGGCCGGUUCCGGUUCCGGUGGUGCCGUCAACGAUGGGUCCGGUGGAACCAGUAGCACUGGUUCCGGUUCCGGUGGUACCAGUAGGGCUGGUCCCGGUGGUGCUCUCAACGAUGGGGCCAGUGGGUCCGGUAGGGUUGUCAACAACGGGACUGGUGCCGGUACCGGUGCCGGUGCUACCAAUAACAGGACCGGUGGUGCCGGUGGUACUGGUGGUACUGGUGGUACCGGUACCGGUGGCACCGUUGCUGAUGGGACUGGUGGUACCGGUGCUGGUGGUACCGUCAAUGAUGGCAGCAGCGGUGCUGGUCACGGCGGUACCGGUGACGCCGACGGUACCGGUAGCGAUGGUACCGGCAAUGGCGGGACCGGAUGUGCCGACGGUACCGGCGUCGGUAGCGGUGGUACCGGUGGAGAUGGACCUGCCGGUAUCGGUGGUACCGGGGGUGACGGUCCUCCUGGUACCUCCCGGUACCGGAUGUACCCUCACCGCCCGGUACCGGUGCUCCUGGUCCUGGUGAUACUGGUACCGGUGUCGGUUGUAGUGGUACCG